AUUGAACGCUGGCGGCAUGCCUCACACAUGCAAGUCGAGCGGAGCGGCGUACGGGUGAGUAAUGCCUAGGAAUCUGCCUAGUAGUGGGGGAUAACGUCCGGAAAGGGGAGCUAAUACCGCAUACUAUCAGAUGAGCCUAGGUCGGAUUAGCUCGUUGGUGGGGUAAAGGCCUACCAAGUCGACGCUCCGUAACUGGUCUGAGAGGACGAUCAGUCACACUGGAACUGAGACACGGUCCAGACUCCUACGGGAGGCAGAAGUGGGGAAUAUUGGACAAUGGGGGAAAGCCUGAUCCAGCCAUGCCGCGUGUGUGAAGAAGGCCUUCGGAUUGGAAAGCACUUUAAGUUGGGAGGCGUUACCAACAGAAUAAGCACCGGCUAACUUCGUGCCAGCAGCCGCGGUAAUAC
rnacentral:rRNA from 1 species